UACGAAGGGUGCAAGCGUUACUCGGAAUUACUGGGCGUAAAGCGUGCGCAGGCGGUUAUGCAAGACAGAUGUGAAAUCCCCGGGCUCAACCUGGGAACUGCAUUUGUGACUGUAUAGCUAGAGUACGGUAGAGGGGGAUGGAAUUCCGCGUGUAGCAGUGAAAUGCGUAGAUAUGCGGAGGAACACCGAUGGCGAAGGCAAUCCCCUGGACCUGUACUGACGCUCAUGCACGAAAGCGUGGGGAGCAAACAGG
rnacentral:rRNA from 1 species